GUUCGUGUUCAUUACAGCACUGAUUGUCGCUGAAGGCUCCUGGGGUUCUGUUAAAAAGAGAAACUCAUACAGUUAUGACCUGUCGAGUAGGUCUGACCUGACCAAGCUCUUUAACUCUAAAGUGUAUAAGGCUUAACGGAUGACACGACCACUUCAUGGCAAGAGAAAUGAGAGAGGAAUAUUUAGUCACUCAGGACUCAGAGUGACUCUGGAAGAUGGCACUAAGUGGUUGGUGCAUAAAGAAAAAGGUAAUGGUUUAU